ACACCGGUGGUGAAGUGGAAUCAUAAUAGCUGUGAGUCGCGGGUUGUACUUGCGGCCCACGACUAGAGUCGAGGGUUCGAAUCCUUCCCAGUGUU